ACUGCCACCAAAUGCCAUUGGUUUGGUGCCAUCCCAAGACGCAGGCACUAAGAGGCCUAGUCUGAUCAUUGCUGUCAUUUGCGGGGAAAUGACACCAGAAGUACUGAAGGAAUCUAAGGAUGAGAAAAUCAACCAGUGCUCUUAAGAGGAUAUGGCUUUCACAAUGCAAAGAAUCUCAACGAAGUUAUUUGUAGAUUCAAGUUCAGUG